GCCGGGUGGGACUUGCUUCUGGGUGUUGGAGGAGGAAGGAGCUUGUCAGCCCAGUCUGGUGUGGUGGCCCUCUUUCUUGGGUCAGCCUGAAGAUUCAAGUCCAAUCUCUUCUGAAGCUUUUGGGCCACUGAAGCCACUGACUACAUUGGACCAAUGAGGCAACAUAUAGUUAGAGUACCAGGCCUAGAGACAAUAAAAACAGAAUCAUUCAAAUAUAUCCUCAGACCUUUACUAGCUGUGACCCAAGGAUAAAUUACAUAUGGUCUCAGAGUGAAGGCACCAGGAUUAAGGAAGACAGAAGAAAGACUUCUUGCAGAAGAUGGGGCUUUAGCUGAGACUUAAUGGAAGACAAUGAAGCCAGUGGAUGAGGUGAAGAGAGACAGAAUUUCAGUUAUUGUGCAUAGCCCAUAAAAAUGUCAAGAUUCAGAAGGUAGUCUCAAGGAACCACAAAGGGAUUAGUGUCACUGCACUGGAGAACUCUUGGAUGUGAAGGGAUGGAGGAUCAGGAGCCAGGAAGAAAGAAUUUCAACAUGUCCGUUGAUUUCCAGCACCUGAAUCUUCAAAGAAUAAUAAAAAAUUUCUCAGAUGAAAUAAUUCCUCAAUUGAGAGAUGUCAUUUUAUUUGAAAGUCUCAGAGUUCACUGCUCUCUUCACUUUUGUAUAUUUUGAGAGAUAAACUAACCUGUAUAGCUUCCCAAUUACUGUCUUCUUAUUAUAAUGAUAAUAAAUAUGCUUGCAAUAUAUGAAUGUCUUUUAUG
rnacentral:lncRNA from 1 species